rnacentral:rRNA from 1 species
GACGAACGCUGGCGGCGUGCUUAACACAUGCAAGUCGAACGGAAAGGCCCUGCUUUUGUGGGGUGCUCGAGUGGCGAACGGGUGAGUAACACGUGAGUAACCUGCCCUUGACUUUGGGAUAACUUCAGGAAACUGGGGCUAAUACCGGAUAGGAGCUCCUGCUGCAUGGUGGGGGUUGGAAAGUUUCGGCGGUUGGGGUUGGACUCGCGGCUUAUCAGCUUGCUGGUGGGGUAGUGGCUUACCAAGGCUUUGACGGGUAGCCGGCCUGAGAGGGUGACCGGCCACAUUGGGACUGAGAUACGGCCCAGACUCCUACGGGAGGCAGCAGUGGGGAAUAUUGCACAGUGGGCGGAAGCCUGAUGCAGCAACGCCGCGUGCGGGAGGACGGCCUUCGGGUUGUAAACCGCUUUCGCCUGUGACGAAGCGGGAGUGACGGUAAUGGGUAAAGAAGCACCGGCUAACUACGUG